rnacentral:rRNA from 1 species
ACGCAAUAAGCACUCCGCCUGGGGAGUACGGUCGCAAGACUAAAACUCGAAGGAAUUGACGGGGGCCCGCACAAGCAGCGGAGCAUGUGGUUUAAUUCGAAGCAACGCGAAGAACCUUACCAGGGCUUGACAUCGUCUGAAUAUCUUAGAGAUAAGAGAAACCCUUCGGGGCAGAUAGACAGGUGGUGCAUGGUUGUCGUCAGCUCGUGUCGUGAGAUGUUGGGUUAAGUCCCGCAACGAGCGCAACCCUUGUCAUUAGUUGCUAACAGUAAGAUGAGCACUCUAAUGAGACUGCCGGGGACAACUCGGAGGAAGGUGGGGAUGACGUCAAAUCAUCAUGCCCCUUAUGUCCUGGGCUACACACGUGCUACAAUGGCUAGAACAAUGAGAUGCAAGAUGGUGACAUGGAGCAAAUCUAUAAAACUAGUCCCA